rnacentral:lncRNA from 1 species
UUCCAAACCACAAUUAAUAUUAAAUGCUUUUAGCACUACAAUCCUGAAAAAUGAAUGCGUUUCAUCACUAAUCGUAUGUAUCCAAAUCCUUCCACCGACCAAAACUCAAUUCAAUUGCCUAGGCUGACGCUCAAAAGUCAAAACUACUAAAAGCCUCCUCUUCCCUUUCCACUGUAUUAUUAGUUUAUUACCUAAAUUAGUGGGGAACAAUGAACAAUUAUGAAUAAUACAAGGUUACCAACAUAAUUUAGAAGAAUUUAACCUACUGUUUGUAAAAGGAAAGAAAGGCCCCUGCAUUAAAUGUUUGGCAAAACUCAAUUAAUUCAUUCCAAAACUAAUGGGAACUUUAAAUACAUACUUUUCUAGAGUUCUAAUAAUCAAUUAUCAUACUAUAAAAUUUACUCCAAAGAAUCAAAAGGCACAAUCAAUAAUUAUGUAAUCUUGAUCUGCCAGAAAGCUAACAGCUUUUGAAUCAACAUACCCCAAGCAGUUUGCAUCACUAAUCCAACUCCAUCUUGAAUAAAAACCCCACAGAGACCAGGAUGAAGAUCAGGAAACCUUUUGACUUUAAAAGCCAAGAAUUUGCAGUGUUAGGACAGCACCUGGGUGGGGAAGGGCCCCUCUUAUCUUAUGUUAAUUCAAAAUUUCAACUGAGCAAGUCCUUUGCCGAACAAACCCCACACUGAACAAACCCCACCAAAAAGCUCAAGUUCAGCCAUGAGUGGACACUUGACUCCACCUUUGAACUCUCGAGCAUCUCUCCGCCUGUACAACACAAGGGCAAAUACAGGGGGAAAAUCAUUAUGCCAUCCUCAAGUGCCAACUACCACUACGUUUAUCGCUAUCACUACGAGUGAUCAACCUAAGUGGCCCAUAUCUCCACAGCUAUAAAAAAAAUCCUUGGUAAAUCUCCGUACCCUACUGAUCAUAUCAAAUCAAGCAUAAUUAUCUAUCAUAAAAUUUUUCUAGAUGAUAUAUAUAACAAUAAAAUGCUUAAAACAGCAAGAUAAUACAAAUUUAAGUUAUAUAAACUAAUAUAGCUUAAACACUACCAUAGAUAUGAAGGUAUUGAAGCAGCAAGAAAAAAAUAUAAAGCAAGCCAAAUUAAAACUCCACUCAGUAGCACAACUGAAGAAAGGAACCUAUUAUGCCUUAAAACUACUUAUUAUGACUAGCAAAAUAGAUACUGCAAACUACAGGGUUUCAAGCAAUCCAACCGGUCCUAAGGUGAUUUAUCAUCCAACUUGAACCUCUCCUAUUGCUGCUCGAGUAAGAAACCAUCACAAUUACAAGAGCAAAGAGAAGGUUAUACGCAGAAGAGUUUGAGAUCAACCCGUAUUCAGUUAAGGUCGGAGGCAAUCCUUUAACAAAAAUCUUCUCGGUCCUGAUAUUUCCACCACCUCCAGAAUUUUUACCCUGAUUAAAAUUACCAAAUCUAGCAGAUGUUUGCUGCUCCUCUCUAGAUAACACCCUCUUUGCCUCAACCUGGGAAAUAGCUAUCUUAUAAUUGGGAACUAUCUUUGCACCAGGCAACGCCAAUAACAAUACAGAUAAAAUACACAAACUCGGAUGAAAUUAAGCGCGCACACACACACAUAUAAGCACAAAAACACCUUAAAUUGUAAAAUUGGCACCAAAAUAAUAUAGCAGACACUAAGGAACUCCAAGUAUCUUCUCAUGCGUAGGCAAAAGACAGUAAGAUAAAACAUAAAAAAUUAACAAUAAAUAGAACAUAAUCAGAGGGGGGGAAGAAAACAUGGAACCAUACAAUCAUCAACCAGUAAAUCAAUAAAAAAUAACAUAUAAACCCCCCAAAAUUUAUUUCCCUCCCUAGAAUUAGUAUUUAAAAGGAAAACCCACUGAGAUAGCAACAACCCUAGACAUGGAUUUGGUAACUAAUUACACCUGAGCAGAGCAUUUGGCUCAAAGAAAUGGAUUUGAAUCAUCCACCAUCUUAUUCCCAAUAUAAAAAACAAGUUUUAACAUAUAUUUGGAGAACCAUAAGUUCAUAACCAAUACCCUUUCCGAAUAUUUGGGAUGCAGAUGAUGGAUAGGGGUAUUCAGAGAAAUAACAAGUCAGAGAAACAUCGAUCUAAAAUGCCAUAUCCACAUAAACAAUUACAAAUCCUAAUCUAAGGCAGUAUUACUGUUUAAUUAGAAUCGAAAAGAAUUACUUGACGCUUUUUAUGGCAAUGAUUCCAUUUUAGUAUAAAAUUUCAGGCACAAAAUCGGUAAAAAUUUUAGGCAUAAAAUUUGGCAUAAAGAAACAAAGAAAAAAAGAGUUUUAUGCCAUACCUUAGCCAAGACCUAGUGAAGAAGAACGAGAUUUGCCUGAGAAAGAGAGAAAGAGAAGAAAUGAAAUAGUAGCCUGAGAAGAGAAGAUAGCAAUGGAGUAGAAGAUGAAGAAUGAAAGAAGGAAAUGAAUGAAGAAGGGAAGAAGAAGACUUUUACCUGGACGAAGGAGGAACCGGAAAAUAUCUUACAGAAAUGAAAUCUGUAAGACAUUUUCCCAAAAAAGUAAAGCAUUUUACCCGUGCCUUAGAAAACAAUUUCCAAAUGGAAAAUGUUUCCAGUCAAACAAACACUGGAAAAGUAGGAAAACAUUUUCAGGAAAAUGUUUUC